GACGAACGCUGGCGGCGUGCUUAACACAUGCAAGUCGAACGGAAAGGCCCUGCUUUUGUGGGGUGCUCGAGUGGCGAACGGGUGAGUAACACGUGAGUAACCUGCCCUUGACUUUGGGAUAACUUCAGGAAACUGGGGCUAAUACCGGAUAGGAGCUCCUGCUGCAUGGUGGGGGUUGGAAAGUUUCGGCGGUUGGGGAUGGACUCGCGGCUUAUCAGCUUGUUGGUGGGGUAGUGGCUUACCAAGGCUUUGACGGGUAGCCGGCCUGAGAGGGUGACCGGCCACAUUGGGACUGAGAUACGGCCCAGACUCCUACGGGGGGCAGCAGUGGGGAAUAUUGCACAAUGGGCGGAAGCCUGAUGCAGCAACGCCGCGUGCGGGAUGACGGCCUUCGGGUUGUAAACCGCUUUCGCCUGUGACGAAGCGUGAGUGACGGUAAUGGGUAAAGAAGCACGGGCUAACUACGUG
rnacentral:rRNA from 1 species